GGAUGUGAGGGCGAUCUGGCUGCGACAUCUGUCACCCCAUUGAUCGCCAGGGUUGAUUCGGCUGAUCUGGCUGGCUAGGCGGGUGUCCCCUUCCUCCCUCACCGCUCCAUGUGCGUCCCUCCCGAAGCUGUGCGCUCAGUCGAAGAGGACGACCUUCCCCUGCUAGAAACUCCAAACAAGCUCUCAAAUGGCAUAUCCUCCUGCCUGACUCCAAAACUAGGCCCAGUGCCCAAACAUAUUAAGAGUAAUUCACCAGGGGCUGGAGUUGUACUU
rnacentral:sRNA from 1 species